AUAAUAGAAUGAGCAAAUUGCUUAUAAAGAUAUAAAACCAUAAAAGGGGAAGUGUAUUAAAAGAAACAUAGAAAGCAUGCAAUGAACAAAAGUCUGAAGAUAGAAAUGGUAAACAUAAAAACGGAACUUAAAUUGCAGCAAAAUCAAUCACGGCAUAAGAGGAUUGAUAAAGCUGUAUUAGCCACUCUUGGGACGUUUAGCUUCAUCCGAUUCCAUACCAUCAAAGGAUUUCCUAACCCUCUCACCCACAGUACCAUCAAGACCUCUGAUAGGAGCGGAUUCCUCACUUACAGACUUCAAGACAUCAUCAGAUGUUGAUGGAACAGCGUGUUCUUCCAAGAGAGCUACAUGAUGUGGAGCCUCUGGUGGGAAUACCUUCGUGACAGUAAUGGUUUGGGUCUUCCCUGACAAAUUAUGAUCGGAGACUUUCACAAUGAAUUUAUGUGUCUGCCCUAUUGUAUCGAGUAGAGCCUGCGGCACCGACAUGCACUGAUCAACCCCUACGCCCUCAUUACACUAACAUUCAAGAAAAAUAUAUGUAAGUUCAACUAACUUGGAGCUAUGUAUAGACAGGUUUGAAAUUACCUCAACUGCUCCUUUUUAUAGACGCAUCGUUUAUGUCCAAGCACAACUGCUUUGGCUCUGUAGAGUUUUAC
rnacentral:lncRNA from 1 species